GGGAAUAUUGGGCAAUGGGGGAAACCCUGACCCAGCAACGCCGCGUGAGGGAAGAAGGUUUUCGGAUCGUAAACCUCCGUCCUUGGUGAAGAGAAGAAGACGGUAGCCAAGGAGGAAGCCCCGGCUAACUACGUGCCAGCAGCCGCGGUAAUACGUAGGGGGCAAGCGUUGUCCGGAAUGAUUGGGCGUAAAGGGCGCGUAGGCGGCCUGGUAAGUCUGGAGUGAAAGUCCUGCUUUUAAGGUGGGAAUUGCUUUGGAUACUGCUGGGCUUGAGUGCAGGAGAGGUAAGUGGAAUUCCCAGUGUAGCGGUGAAAUGCGUAGAGAUUGGGAGGAACACCAGUGGCGAAGGCGACUUACUGGACUGUAACUGACGCUGAGGCGCGAAAGUGUGGGGAGCAAACA
rnacentral:rRNA from 1 species